rnacentral:lncRNA from 1 species
UACAAUCCUCUCUUCUCUCUCUCAAUUUGAAUUUCACGUUUUUCAUCUUCAAAGAAAAAGAAGAAGGGGCGGCGACUGUGAGCAUCUUCACCACCCGUCGUCGCCGCCGCCGCCGCAACUCCGCCGUCGCCGUCGAAGCCCAGCCAAGCCCGCCGUCGAAGCCCAGCCAAGCCCGCCGUCGCGCGCUGCGAUUUCAAGCACGCUGCGAUUUCCAGCAGCGCGAUUUCCAGCCAAUCUCUUCCUCUCUCUCUCUCUUUCUCAAAAUUGUAAUUUACAGCCAUAGCUCGCCGAAAAAAUUUUUGCUCGCCCAACUCCGUCGUCUGACCCGUCGCCGUCGAAGCGCAUCCAUGCUUCGUGUUGUUGCUCCGUCGUUGUCGAAGCCCAGCUCA